GAUGAACGCUAGCGGCAGGCUUAAUACAUGCAAGUCGAGGGGUAACAGGUCUGUAGCAAUACAGAUGCUGACGACCGGCAAACGGGUGCGGAACACGUACAGAACCUUCCUUCGAGUGGGAGAUAGCCCAGGGAAACUUGGAGUAAUAUCCCAUAGGAUCAUAGAGUGGCAUCACUUAGUGAUUAAAGAUUUAUCGCUUGAAGAUGGCUGUGCGGCUGAUUAGGUAGUUGGUGUAGGUAACGGCUCACCAAGCCUUCGAUCAGUAACUGGUGUGAGAGCACGACCAGUCACACGGGCACUGAGACACGGGCCCGACUCCUACGGGAGGCAGCAGUAAGGAAUAUUGGGCAAUGGAGGCAACUCUGACCCAGCCAUGCCGCGUGGAGGAUGAAGGUCCUCUGGAUUGUAAACUUCUUUUAUUUGGGAAGAAAUGCCGAUUUUCUAAUUGGUUUGACGGUACCAGAUGAAUAAGCACCGGCUAACUCCGUGCCAGCAGCCGCCGUAACAC
rnacentral:rRNA from 1 species